rnacentral:misc_RNA from 1 species
UACGUAGGGGGCAAGCGUUAUCCGGAUUUACUGGGUGUAAAGGGAGCGUAGACGGUUUAGUAAGUCUGAAGUGAAAGCUCGGGGCUCAACCCCGGGACUGCUUUGGAAACUAUUGAACUAGAGUGCAGGAGAGGUAAGUGGAAUUCCUAGUGUAGCGGUGAAAUGCGUAGAUAUUAGGAGGAACACCAGUGGCGAAGGCGGCUUACUGGACUGUAACUGACGUUGAGGCUCGAAAGCGUGGGGAGCAAACAGG